GGCAUGAUGGCUGAGUGGUAAAGCACUUGGCUUCUGAACUGGGAUUCCCAGGAUUGAAUCCUGGUGAAGACU
rnacentral:tRNA from 1 species